UACAGAGGUCUCAAGCGUUGUUCGGAUUCAUUGGGCGUAAAGGGUGCGUAGGUGGCGCCGUAAGUCGGGUGUGAAAUUUCGGAGCUUAACUCCGAAACUGCAUUCGAUACUGCGGUGCUUGAGGACUGGAGAGGAGACUGGAAUUCAUGGUGUAGCAGUGAAAUGCGUAGAGAUCAUGAGGAAGACCAGUGGCGAAGGCGGGUCUCUGGACAGUUCCUGACACUGAGGCACGAAGGCCAGGGGAGCGAACAGG
rnacentral:rRNA from 1 species